rnacentral:rRNA from 1 species
CCCGCUGAACUUAAGCAUAUCAAUAAGCGGAGGAAAAGAAACUAACAAGGAUUCCCCUAGUAACUGCGAGUGAAGCGGGAAAAGCUCAAAUUUAAAAUCUGGUGGUCUCUGGCCGUCCGAGUUGUAAUUUAGAGAAGCGUCUUCCGCGCUGGACCGUGCACAAGUCUCCUGGAAUGGAGCGUCGUAGAGGGCGAGAAUCCCGUCUUUGGCACCGAAGCCCCAGGGCUUCUGUGAUGCGCUCUCGAAGAGUCGAGUUGUUUGGGAAUGCAUCUCAAAAUGGGUGGUGAUCUCCGUCUACAGCUAAAUAUUGGCGAGAGACCGAUAGCGAACAAGUACCGUGAGGGAAAGAUGAAAAGCACUUUGGAAAGAGAGUGAAACAGUACGUGAAAUUGUUGAAAGGAAAACGCUUGAAGUCAGUCGCGUCGCACGAGACUCAGCCUCGCCUCGGCUUGGUGUACUUCUCGGCCGACGGGUCAGCAUCAAUUUUGCCCCUUGGAUAAUGGCGAGGGAAAUGUGACACCUUUACAGGUGUGUCAUAGGUGCAUACUCGUCUCAUGCAAAGGUGCGAGAUCGUGGGCUUCUGCACGCUCCUUUAGACGUAGGGGUUCGCCCACGAUACAUGCUUAGGAUGUUGGCAUAAUGGCUUUAAACGACCCGUCUUGAAACACAG